rnacentral:misc_RNA from 1 species
UAAUCGAUACAUUCGUCUGUUGCUCGUAAUAAUAUCCGAAAAAUUGUCGUUCUCUUGUUUCAAGAUCUGAAGGACGGACUCGCGGCCCUACGACGGACACACACGAGAAAACUCUUGAAGCUGUCGAGAGCUAGUGUGUCGCCUAGAACGGUGGACUCGAGUAUUCGACCACCGAUGUUCUGAGUGAGGUACCUACCUAGUCACCAUCAGUUUGUGACGAAAACUUUUGUUUGCUGCUGCCCCCGUUCCAUAUGAUUGCUUCGCUGACAUUUUCGAAUAUGGCGCCAUCGAUACGAACAUUAAACACGACAAGCCUACUCAUGAAAUGCUGUCGGAUUGGAGCCAGUGCAUUUGCGUCGUUACCUUUGACCUGGAGUUUGGCCCGGUGGUCGAGUUGGUCUACCCCAACGACAUAAAAUUAUCCGAGGAAGAACUAACCUCUGUUACCUGGCGUUUCCCAACUCCAAUUCUAGAUGCAUGGGAGUCACUCAAUUCCAUGUCAAGUAAAAGUGUUCUCAACCUUCAAAUCUUAAUCAACUCCAUAUAAGCAAUAUCGCAAAAUUUCCAGUUUUUUUACAAGCUGAUCAUCGUUGUUUGUAUAGGUUUGUUUUCAUUCGACAAAUCAAAGAUAUGUCUCUUUCACGGGGAUAUUUUCAAGAAAACCCCAGGAGCUUCCAUUUGAAGUCCUUAAUUUGGAAAGACCUCAGACUUAUACCAUAGGUUUUGGUGUACAAAGGGAUACAGA